rnacentral:rRNA from 1 species
CAGCCGCCGCGGUAAUACGAAGGGUGCAAGCGUUACUCGGAAUUACUGGGCGUAAAGCGUGCGUAGGUGGUGGCUUAAGUCCGUUGUGAAAGCCCUGGGCUCAACCUGGGAACUGCUUCUGAGACUGAACGACUAGAGUACGGUAGAGGGUGGUGGAAUUUCCGGUGUAGCGGUGAAAUGCGUAGAUAUCGGAAGGAACAUCAAUGGCGAAGGCAGCCACCUGGGCCUGUACUGACACUGAGACACGAAAGCGUGGGGAUCAAACAGGAUUAGAUACCCCAGUAGUCCCUGUCUCUUAUAC